AUUCAUAUGAAUUGACAUCCUCAUCUUUAUAGCAAGAGUCACAAACUAUAGUUGUUAUGUAUUUUUUUAGCGAAGAAGGGGCCCACAAAAGGGGAGGUGUCGGGACCACAGAUGUCAGUGCAACCCUGGGCCCCCCAGCGGGGAGGCACUUUCUCUCUGGUCAUCUCAUUUCCGAUUGCUGAUCACCAGCAACCCUGCAGAGAGGCUGCACUUUGGAAAAAAGAGCUCAUUGGUGUCACCAGUCCUGAAUGCCCCUUGUUGCCAUUUCAGGGUCCUUUUCUGCCAUGGAGACGUCAGGUGGAAGAGCCCCUACUCCGGAGAGGAGAAGCUCUCAGUCUACCCCCAAGCCUCAUCUGCCACCUUCUCCAGCUACCACUGGGCUGCCCGGAAGAGAGCAGCAUGGUCAGAACAGCACAGCCACUAGAACGUGAGCUCCGUGAGAGCAGAGACUUCCAUUGGCCUUGUUCAGUGCCGUACCUCUUGUGGCUAGAACAGCGCCUGCCACACGCAGCCCAUCAAGAAGCCCGGAGGUGAUCCGAGAGCUACCUGGCUUCAUAGCCUUGGCUUUUGGCCUCAGUGGCCGGAGGAAACUCCUCAGCCUGGAGCUUGAGGCUCUUGGAGGCGCCUUGGAGGUAAGAGAGGGCGCUGGAGGCAGAGGAAGGCUCUCCCUCUCGGCGCGUCACUGAAGCAUCUCCCCUCCCU
rnacentral:lncRNA from 1 species